CACCAGCCGGAAUAGCAACCGGCGGAGCCCGUGCGCACCGCAGCGCAGCGCAGCGGCCGGGGGGUGCGGGCGCCCUCGCCGCCCGGCUACCUACCGCCGCCUGGGCGCCGCCGCUGCCUCCCUUCCCCGCUUCUACCCUCCAGCAGACGCCCGCCGGAGCGACCCCUCCAAGGGUGACCGGGGGAAGGUGUUCCACGUGGCCAUAGCGUUUGCGUCACAAUGUCCUGGCGGACAGGUGGGAGCCACAGCGUACACCCCAGGGUUCCCUCUGUGCUGUGCGUAGUGCCUGCUGCUUGCUUCCAGGUUAAAUUUCUGUAGCUUUAGAGGACAGGAGACUUCAUGACUUAAGUGCCAAGAAAAGUUACAGAGGCCUGCUGUACCUGGAAAUCAAGUUUGAGCUUCGAGAAUAAAGUUCAUGUUUUAAAAACA
rnacentral:antisense_RNA from 1 species